UCUUCUUCUUCUUCUAUCCAUGACACCAAAGCAAGCUUAUGGCUGUCAUAAGCCAGUUCAUGGUCAGUGUCGCUGCCACCCCACAAGUGGGGACCGUGCCUUGGCAAGCCUGCUAAAAUGGCAGGAUUUUGUUAGCCCAUAGCGACAGUAGGGGGCACCCCUCCCUGCAGCAUACAUAAUGGUUCCUUUAUUUUUAAUAAACGUGAUUGUGAAUCAGGGAGGGCAAGAAAUUCUGGUCUUGAAAUUUGCUGGAGUAGGGUCUAAAAGGCUGUAACAUAGUUUUUGCACUCUGCUCUCAUGAACGUUGUAAAUUUCCAGGCGUCACAUAAGGUAUAAGCAGAAACUACUGGUUUGUAGGUCAGUUGGAAGGAUGUAACCUUCUGGAAUUUCACAGUAUUUGUUUCAGCCACAUGCAUUCUUGCACCUUAAAAGAUACAUGGGGUGGGGUGGGGGGGCGAAUGAACUGCUUCAAUUAAGCUGCAACCCCCACUUUGAAAUUAUAUAUAAGCAGCAUUUAUGAGUUGUACGUUGCGUUUCAUUUUUAUUUCCAUCAAACGGGAAUGGACAAUGUCAGCAGAAUUAAUGUAUACAUGUUUUGCUUUUUAAAUUUUCUCAGCGACAAGAUUUUGUCUAACAGCUUAUGUCAUGUCAUGUUUUCAAAAGUCUAAAAGAGUUUUCAUCCAACUUGGAGCGGUGUAGCUCGAAUCAAUACAUUCAGCACCUUUGUACCAUAUCAAACCUCUAGCCAUUGUGUGCUGUUCUCCCCCGCCAUGGUCUAUCUCUCCAUUUUUGGAAAUAAACCAAAAUGCUAAUGAAAUGAAUAGAAUUGUGCUACUUUCAAAGAAAAAUAAUUCUUUAAUAAACUAUGGUUGCUUGCUUUAUCAAAUAAUGAAAAUAAUCCCAUUGAUAUUCAACUUUUCAAAACGUCAUGGAUAGUUUGAAACUGAGAAAGUUUAGUGGUACAAGUAUUGUUCAGACUCAUUUUUAGGCUCAUUUUUAAGUUUUGAAAAAUUAAAGAUGAAUACCGUUUUGUAAGUUUUUGUUUUUUUUCUCCUGACAUCUCGAGGCUUCUGGUUUGGGUAGUUUUUUUGCCAAAAAGAUUUCAAACGUGUUAUCUUUCUUCAGGCCCUCCCUAGAUAAAAAAUAAAACAAUAACACAAAAUAGUGAAAGUGGAAUAUUCUGAGGGAAACAGGGAAUUCGCUGACAAGUUCUUCUCCACAUAAACCAAUAUUUACCAGUAAUCUUGUGUUUUUUGUUUUGUUCUUUUGGCAGACUUUUACCCGUAAAUAUCGGUUUAUUCCUGAAACCAGAAGCCCUAAACAUAUCUUUGCUUAUAAGCUUCCUUUUGCGGUUCUGCUCCUUGUGCAGUAUUGCUGUCAACCAUUUUAAUCUGAGCAGUUGACAUUGGUGCUUCUUCGAAACCUUCUGAAAACUUGAAGAGAGCUCCUGUUGCCACUCUGGAACACAAAACGUACCCGCACCAUGAGAAGUCCACUUAUUUUAAACAUCAAAGAUCAAUUGUCUUCAGCAUUGAUCAAUUGCAAUGCAGAAAACCUAUACUAUAAGCCUUUCCUAUAUAAAGAACUCCUUCGCCAUUCAAAUUUGAGAGAGGAUUCUAUUAACGGUGUAUAUUAGUCUAGGGAUUAUUUUUUUUACUGUCGAUAUUGUAAUUUUGUAAUGGUCAAUAUUUAAUUUUUUGAUGUGACUAAUCUGUGUGCAUUAAAGUUUAUUCCAAGGUGCUCUGCAUUUCCAUGUUGUCUGUCGCAGACAGUAUAGCACUUUGAUAUAAAGUUUCCAUAUUAGAGAGGUGAAGGCAGUUCUGCAUGUAAUAACUUUUCUCAUAAGGCUAAAAUGCUAAAGGGGGAGAAAAAACACCAGGAUUCCAAAGUCUGAAUGGUUCAAGCUCUGUAGUCAUGUGCCAAUUGCAAAUGUUAACAAGCCUCUUCUGAAAAAUGUAGGAGAUCAUGAACACCUUUUGGUCAUGACAAACAAAAGCCAUCAGAGAAGAUACUGGAUGGAUGGAUCCAUUCCAUUAGCAAAGGUUCUUUCUUUAGGACAGGGGUCUUCAAACUAUGGCCCUCCAGAUAUUCACAGACUACAAUUCCCAUGAGCUCUACCACUUGGCCAUGCUGGCAGGGGCUGAUGGGAAUUGUAGUCAAUGAACAUCUGGAGGGCCAUAGUUUGAAGACCCCUGCUUUAGGAGAAGGUUCUUUCAACUGGAGACACAGAUACAUGGGAGUCAAUCCCUUUUUUCCCCUUGAUGUUCAUGUAGUACCAGCAAGUUGAAAUAUUUCCUUCUCGGACUGUCCAGUGGCUGGUAGCUAGGGUUUAGGAUUAGGUUGCAACAUUCCUCUGGUCUCCCAAAUAUCCUGCUGACGGAAACCCUUUAUUUGCAGUGGACUUUGUAGCACUCAUAGAUCAAGCUUUAGAUUUCUCUGUACAUCCCAAGCGUAUUUGCUGUACGUCUUAGUACACAAAGACCACAGAGAAAGGAAAUACAACCCGGAUUUUUUUUAAAAAAAAAAAUUCAACCUUUCCAAGUCAUAGCAGGCAAACAGAAAAGAUUCCACUGACUUCCCUGAUAAUAGCAUUAAUUUCUGGGUUUGCAGGAUCGUGUUGCUUCUGCACAUGCAGUCCUAGAAGUUCGUUAUUUUGUUACCAUGCUGAGCACUGACGGUCCAACACAUAACUUUUUAGCAUUUUGAUCCAGGGUGCUGUAAGAGUCGGUCACUUAUGCAGGUGUAUGACCACGACUGCCUUCCUCAGCACACUUCCUGGCGAGUAAGUCCCAUUGAACCCAGUGGGAGUUUUGCAUGUUUUGGGAUUGCACUGCAUGUAAAGGGGACCAGGCUCUCCUCUAACUGGACAACCAGUCGCUGUCCCCAGAAAGGCAGCUGGUGGGGGAAAAGGCAGCCCCAAGCCCUUCCUGUCGUUCUCUCUAGGGCUCUGUACCAUGUACGGGCUUGCAUGGUAGGACUUAACCACCUGAAUUAGCCCCCAAGCAUUCUUUCCUUUCCGUAGACAAAGGGCAAAAUCUGUAGUACCGUUUCACUCAUGCGUUUUCUAGAGAUGCAAAACACUCUAGGCUGCAUUUUUUGGCUUGAGUUUGCUAGUUAAUCUUGAUUAGAUGUGCUGAUUUCCAUUGGUUGACCUAUUUUUUCUGUAACUAUAUGAUUACCAUGAAACAUAUAUUGUAAGAGUGUGCAUUUAUUUGAGAAUCUGAAUGUUGCACUAGGGAAAAAAAAGUUUGUUUUUAUUUCUGUAAAUAGCCGCUACUCUUUUACGUUUUAAUAUACUUGGCUACCAUCUCAUAACUGUUGUAUUUUGAUCUAAUGGGCAGUGUUAAGCCAUUAUGUGGUUAUGUAUUUGUGUAUAUGUUUAUAUGUAACUAACUAAUUCUAAAUUGUAAGUAAGGAACAUGCUUGUUUCAUUUAUUCAGAGUAGUAACCUUCCCAUUGAAAAAUAUUUUCAGUUACAUGAGAAAAGAAGUUUAUUUUUUUUAAAGAUUGUCACACAGUCUUUUUUAAAAGAUUGUCUCUAGCUGCUUUUUAAAAAAAAUACAUGUGGGCAGGAUUUUAUCUAAUUUUCACUUGAUAGACCAAAGUUACCAUUGACACUGUCUUGCAAUGCUGAUCAAAUUUAUCUCCUUUGCACUUUAAAACAAAUAAUAAAAUAAGGAAAAUCAAGGUGUUGAUUGUAUAUACAUUCACUGUACAGUAGAAUGUAUAUCACUAGUCAAUCUGUUUAUAAAGAGGGGUAUUUUCCUUUUGGGGGGUACUCAACCAAUGUAUUUGCUAGUCAAUAUAAAGUGUUUACAUGUAAUUACUAAAUAAAUUAUUUGAUUUAA